CAAUAGCGUAUAUUAAAGUUGUUGCAGUUAAAAAGCUCGUAGUUGGAUUUCUGGGAGGGUGCCAAUGUCCGCUGAGGCGUGUGCAGCGGCGCCCUUCCAUCCUUCUGUUAACGAUUCUUGGUAUUCAUUUACUGGCUUCGGGCUCAGAUAUUUUACCUUGAGAAAAUUAGAGUGUUUCAGGCAGGCUUACGCCGGAAUACAUUAGCAUGGAAUAAUAGAAUAGGACUUUAGCUCUCCUUCGUUGGUUUGUAGAGGCUGAAGUAAUGAUUAAUAGGGAUAGUUGGGGGCGAUUAGUAUUUAAUUUGUCAGAGGUGAAAUUACUCGGAUUCAUUAAAG
rnacentral:rRNA from 1 species